CAUCACUAUCACAACAACUAGCACCACUACCCUUGCUAGUCUGUUUCACUCUCUAUGUAAAAAGCAAUCUUGCUCUGCAUACCUGAUUUAAACUUCUUUCCCCUCACUUUCCUUCAGUAUUUGAUGUUUCUACCCUGGGAAAAAGUUUCUAAAUGUCUAACAUACAUGCUUAUUCAUGCUUAAAUUUCUAUCAUGUGUCCCUCAGCCCCUGAUACUUAUCCAGCCUUUCACUAUAGCCCGUAUGCUCUAAUCCAGACAGUAGUGCACCACCAAUAACUCUCGGAGACGGGAGGCAAAAGAUAGGCUUUUAUUAGCUGCAAACAUGACCACGACAUCUUGGAGAUUGAGGGAGGAGCAGUGCCUCCAAUCGCCUUUAUACCGGGGUCUGUGGGAGGAGACACAGGAGCAGUCAGCAGAGGGGCAUGUCCAGACAAGUAUACACAUUGUUUACCACAGACAGUUCCCUGGUAAACCUCUUUUCUAUAGUUCCCAAAGCCUCUACAUACUUACUGUAAUGGUGCGACCAGAAGUGCAUGCAAGAAAAGUCCAAUGUUAACUUCACAGUGAUUGGAAACUAUCUAUGCACCAAGAAAAUUGUGCACAAUUCUGUUAGAACAACUGUAGAAACAAAAGCAAGGCAGCCCCCUCAUCUUUAGGUUACAUUGCAGCACAGACAGCAGCCAUUUAACAUGUGAGGGCAGAAGAUCAGAAUUCAGUCAAAGCAUCACACCCACUGAUGCCCUUCCCAAAAUGCUGUUUGGCACAAAGGAUCUCAAAGGACUUAUCAGAAGAUGCAAUCAGGAAGACUCUAAGACAAAUGUGAACUUAUUAAAUAAAAAUGCUACCAACAUGAUAGAGUCCUCUGAAUAAAUUAUAUUAGAGUGCAUGAGUUAACUGCAUUAUAAUUCAGAAAGCUCUCAUUGUAACACAAAAUUCUGUUUUUUUGGCAAAGAGGUCCAAGGCAGUAAAGGGGACUGGAAUGGAAUUUAUUUUUGUUUAAUUUAUUGAGAUACAAUGUGGAAUAGGCCCUUCUGGCCCUUCAAACUGCACCACCCAGCAACCGCCCGAUUUAAUCCUGGACUAUGGGAGAAAACUGGAACAGCUGAUGGAAGUCCACAAGGUCACAGGGAGAAUGUACAAGCAGUGGCAGGAAUUGAACCUAGGUCCUCUGUACUGUAAAGCAUGUGCUAACCACUACUCUACCAUGCUGUACAGGAACAAACAAAAGGCUGCAAGACAAAUCAGAAAAGGUAAGCACGAAAGAGAUUAGGCAAACAAAGAAACACAGAUUAUAAGGGUGGAUGAAUUGAUUAACACAGUAUUAGAAUAGAGUGUUCUUAUUACUCCCACUCGCUAUGAGAUGAACCCCAAGUUCAGACAUUUUGUGUAGGUGCUUAAUGCAAAGUCAUUCAUCAUAUGUGAGAUUAUGACUGAACGUUCCCUAAGUCAGAAAGUCGUCUAAGCAUUUAAAAAAAUUGAGCCAGAAUCAGGUCAUCUACAAAUAUUUUAGCAUUAGCAUGAGGAUGACGUGUUGGUUUUUGGGAUGGACAUUUAUGAUAAUCCCAGGACUGAAAGAUCAUUGCUUAUUACAUCUGAACUGAGCAGGCAGUUAAAACUGAACUGCAUGGGUGUGUCUGGAAUCAUAAACAGGCUAGUAUAGGAAGUGAUAAUAGAUUUUCUUUCCUGAAUGAUAGUUGUGCAAGAAAGUAUGUUUUUCUAGUCAUAGUUGAGUUUAUUGUUGUAUGCACAGGAACAUGUAUGCACGGAUGCAAUGAAAAGUUUUCUUACAACUACACACAUCAACAGGUAGGCAGCAUUCAACAGAAAAAUCACAAUUUAAACAUAAAUUAUACACACAUUUUACAAGAAACAGCACAAGUAGAACAAAAUGAUGCUGCCUGGCCUGCUGAGUUCCUCCAGCAUUUUGAGUAUUUUGUUUGGAUUUCCAGCAUCUGCAGAUAUUCUCUUGUUUAUCACAGCAAACGAGUAGCUUUAUGAUUGUUGUUACAAAGUUUAGAGCCUUCUUUUAUAAUUUGAUAUUUAUUAAAUUCUUUGAAUUUUAAUUGCUCAGCUGCUACUUUGGGAUAUGAGCUCAUGUGUUUCGAUCAAUGGUUCCUUGUGUAGUAAUUCAACAAAGUGCAACUGCACUUAAUAUUGUUGAUGAAACUUUCACAUCUAGAGCAUUAGUUACAAUUACUGGUCUACUUCACUGCUUCUCUGAUUUUGGAUGUGAGAUAUGUUCUCAUUAAAAAAUAACAUAAAUUAAUACAUAUUUGCAACCACAUCCAGAGGGCCACAAAACAGCUGAUAUAUAUAAGGGAUUAUUUUGGAAGACCAAGCAUGAUCUUAUCAAAACAGGCUUGAAACAGUGAAUGGCUUCAACUCUUACUCAUACUUCAUAUAAACUUAUGUCAAACAGUGUAGGCUGAAGUUUGUGGUGUUCCAUACUUGAAGAGUAGAAGAACGUUUACACCUGGUUUUACCAAAUCUGAUUAUUGCUAAUGAUAACAUUUAUCAGAUUAAUGAGCACAAAACUUUGAAGUAAUGAUAUUUCAGUCAACUUGAAUUUCUCAGUUUCUUAAUAUAGAACAAAGGGUUGAUUUUUUUUAUAUAAAGGAGUUCUGUAGACCUUAUAUAUCUUUAAAACUUCAAAAUACCUCUAGGGCAACAGACGCAAAAUGCUGGAGGAACUCACCAGGUCAGGCAGCAGCUACUGAAAAGAAUAAAUAGCUGACGUUUUGUGUCGGAACACUUCUUCAGGACUGAGGAAGAGCCUCAGCCCAAAAUGUUGACUGUUGAUUCUUUUCCAUAGAUGCUGCCUGACCUGCAGAGUCCCUCCAGCAUGUUGUGUGCAUUGCUUUGGAUUUCUAGCAUUUGCAGACUUUCUCAUGUUUAAGAUGCCUUGACAAAGUUUAAGUAUUGUAGCUCUCAUUUUGCAGGAGCAAGGCUGUUAGUUUCAAUUUGUUUCAACCGCAUUGAAACAAUAAUCAGAUAGUAUGUCUUUACGUGAUAUUACUUGCAGAAAAAUAUUGGCUGGGACCACCGUAGAGAAUGCAUGAACUCUGCAUUGCGAACAUUUGUUUGGAGAAGGUGGAUAGGAUCUUAGUUCAGCCAUCUGCCGGACUUUAUUUCCUGAGGUAAUCAAUCUCCAUAAUCCAAAUGCCAUUUCACAUUUGCAAUGUUUUGUUCAAUUAAUCAUAUCUUUAUUGGCUUUAUGACUGUUAUGCCCAGGUAGAUAAUUGAUAACAGAGAUAGACAGGCAAGAUAUGAAUUGCAAACAGAGUUGAUUUGAAAUAUUUCCAUUUUCAGUUUUGUAUUAUCAUAUGCAUCAGCAUGUGGUAGGGAAAUCUGAGCUAGUACAGGCCAUUUAUUAUCAGAAAUGGAUGAGAGGCUCCAUGUUGCUUUUUCCACAAAAUGAUCUGCAGAGAUCCAAAUCCAUUUACCACAAUCAUAAUAACUUUGAGAACUUCUGAGAAGUAGGCUUUCCUAUGGACAAGGCUUCACCCUAACUGGACAUACCUGAAACCUAACUGGGCAUACCUGAAUCCAGGCAGUGAUCAUAUAUUGAGCUUUGACAGGAGUGCAGUAAUACCAAGUAGUAUGACUUUAGUUUAGUUUCGGUAGAAUGAUUUUUAAUUUUUGAAAUAACUUCUUUAACUGAAUGUCUCAGUAUGAUAACGUAAGUUAGAAUAAAUGUAAGUAAAGCUUGCCUGGAAAUACUGUUUUUGGAUGUAUAUGAUAGGACUGCAGCAUAUUUUUCUGAUAAAAUUGGGCUUAGUUUGGAAUGUAGUAAUUUUUCUUGGCUCCAGAGUGGUCUCUUGCAUGUUGUUGGAGGUGACCGUAUUUAUAAAUAGUUGUCUUUUAGAAAUUUAUUCUCCUAUUUCCUGAAAAUCCAAAAUUGAAUACCUUCAGCUAUGUUUCUGUUCCUACCAUAGGUUCAACAUGCCACAAUUGAACUCACACAUGACAUUGUGUGGGAUUGUGCCCUUUGACAUCUCUGCUGGUUAAUUAUUCCAUCCUUGACCAGUGUAUCUUCUGCUAUCCAGGUUCUUUUGAAGAUCCUGACCCGGAGUUACACACUGACUUUGGUUCUUUGCGGGAAUGGGUCCUGAUCUCAGGGCCUCACGACCGGCCGCUUUUUGAUAUCCCAAGGACAUGGCCUGAAAGAUGAGUGCGCCUUCAGGGUUCCGAGAUUUCACGGCUGUGGGGAUAUGUUGGUUCUGGGCUGGUGCUCCUGACUGAAGCCUCGCAAGAGAACACGGAAGAUUGGGAGCAGCGGGUCAGCUGCCAGGGGUUGUGUGCCUGGAGAGCUGCGCCUUUUUGGUGCCGACUCUGCAAGGCAGAACUCGGAAAAAGUGAUGCAGCUGAUUUUUAACGUCGUAAAUCAGUGUACGGCAAAGCUGCAGUGAAGCUUGGAGCCAUGGUACCCUGAAAAGAACACAAUGAAACACCUUUGAAGUGUGCCAUGGUGUAAUGGAGGAGGCAACUGAUUCACAGCAAGCUCUCACAGGUAUUUCCUGUUUUGUUGGAUACUUACAGCAUUCUCUUCUGUUUCACGUUUUCAGCAGAUAGUAUAUUCUGCCUCUUGCAGUUCCAGCCAGUUCUUCUGAUUUUUAUUUUCUCUCCAAUUGUCCUCAUUCAUCGGUUGUCUAGAUGGCUCCAAAAGCACUGUGACACCCGAAGAACUUCUUCACCAUAUGGAAGGAAGCUUCUUCUUGGAUGUUUCUGUGGAGUAUUCCUGCUGGGGAGAUCCUCGUUGGGAGAGAUUCCUGGGGCAAAUUCCUGAUUUCUUUCUUUGGAGAGAUACUGCUAAGGAUUGCUCCUUUUGGGAAAGUAUUCAGCUGGCUAUCAAAGUUAAAUUCCAAUGCUGUUGUUAUACAUUUUUAAUUUUAGAAGUACAGCCUGGUAACUGGUCCUUCUGGCACAAUGAGGGCUGUACCACCCAAAUACACCCAUGUGAUCAAUUAACCUACUAGCCUGUAUAUCAUUGGAUCGGUGGGGGGGGGGGGGUGGAACCAGAACACUGAGUAGAAACCCACACAGCCAUGGGGAGGACAAACAAACUGCUUACAGACAGCGGAGGUAUUGAACCCGGGUCACUGGUGCUGUUUGAGUGUUAUGCUAACAUACCACCACUUAGAUUGACAAUGACAAUGUGGAAGGUUGCUGGUAAAGGACAAAGUAAGAGUUCGCCUUUUCAGUUUGCCAUCAUGCCUAGACAAAUGUAGGAUUGCAUUAACUCCUUGAAUCAGACAAGGAAUAUCUAGCCUUUCCUCACUUCUACAGUUACAUUGGCUGCAGUUCUCAAUGCCUUUGUCUGUGUUUGCUCACUUAUGAUCAUUACAUCCGCUGUAGCUGAGAUCGCCCCACCCCCCUGGCCCGAUAGUGGCUUUCAUCUUCAAGCUGUAAUUGGGUUUUGUUUUCAAUUCUGAGAUUUAGGAGAUCUAAACUGCAGGGGAAGAUCUGAAUUUGACAGUUUUAUUGUAAACAUUAUGAGAUCACUAAUCUAUUGACCAGAAGAUAUGGAACAUGGCUGGAGGGCUGUAUGUGCUCAAACAAUUAAGGCUAUAGAGUUACAGUUGGUUACCCUUCCGAACCUUGAUAUCUCCAGCUACAAUGGAGACACAGGAGAUGGCAAGAGCUUGAAAUGAGAGCAACAAAUGAUCUGCUGGAGGAAUUCAGUAUUUUGACCACAAUUAUUGACAAUUUGUUUCCUACCACAAAUGCUGCUCGACCCAUUGAGUUCCUCCAGAGUUUAUUUCUAUCUCCAGCUAUGAUUGGAAGUGCUUAUUUACAAUAUGAGAUGGAUGCAGAAAGUUCUUGGGACCUUGAACUCAGCUGUCACUAACUUUCGUAGGACAGGUUCCAGCAGUUUUCUUGAAAAUACAAUGGCUACAUGUCUUUAAGAUACUCUACUGAACAAUUCUUUCACAUUAUUUACAAAGUGUUAUGAAUUCAUUUUACAGGCUUUGGUUGUCAUUAAUAAGACCAGCUUUCAUUGCCCAUCCCUAAUCGAAGGUAAUAGUGAGCUGCCUUCUUGAACCACUGUAGUCCUUCUUGUGAGUGUACUCCCACAACAUUGUCCAGCAGGGAGUUCCAGGAUUUAGAUCCAGGAGGUCUGAAGGAACAUUUAUGUUGAGACAUCAGUCUCUGUUGUAAACCAUAUGUUGCAAAGCAGUCAAGCCAUGUAACUCCUCUCUUUUCUUUUCAAAUCUUUUUAUUAUUAUUAUUAUCAUUCAAAAAUAACACAGGUACAUCGAAGUAGCAACACUUACAAUGCCUCAAAAAAAAGAAAUUAUCUUAAAGAUUGAAAGCUUUUGUGAAUUUAAAAAAAACCCUACUAAGCAAGAUAAGUGAGAAAAAAAAAGAAACCCAUUGCGAGUACAACCCCGGAGCCAUGCGUCAUGUAACUGCUCUCCAACACACUUAGGUACACAAGGUAGAACAUGUUCAAGCUCAAGGGUACUGAUCAAGCUUGUUGGGUGGGCAUAAUUCAGUUCUUUUUGAAUACAAGCAUAUGAUUUAUUAACUCACUGAAUCAGUAGUGAGGCGUACAUUGGGAAGAUCCAAAACAAUGUGCUCACACACACACAUACAUAUAUAUUCUUUAUAUUCUUUUAAAUUUUGACAAAUUAUUUUGAGUUAUUUUGUGGUGAGUGCAGCAACAAAAACUGACACCAUGCCAUAAAAGAAAAUGUAUCAGAUAUGAAGGUAAAUUUUUAGGAAUAUCUUGCAGAAAGAGAAUGAGGAAUUAAAAGGAGCUAAUAGGGUCAUUCUUCUAAACUUUCUGAAAGGUUGCUUCUCUGAGCUAAAGGUUUGGCAAUCACCAUUACCAGAUAAAGGAUUAGCUACUUAGGCCUGAGCCAAAGAAAAAUUUCUUCACUCUAAGGGUUGUGAAUCCUUGAAAACCUCUGCCUAUUGUAUUCCUUGUCAAUGAUGGUAUUCAAAAUGUUAUUCGAUUGGAAUGAAAAGCUAUACAGAUCGGACAGGAAAGCUGAAUUAAUGUUGUUCACUGAAGACGUGAAGGGUCAUGUUCAGGGGGAAGAUCAUCAGAGUGCAAGCUAUGGCAUAGAAUCUUAAAUAGAUGGGCAUUAUUAGUUCACUCUUCAUCACCCCUUCUCCUUUCAGAAACACUUUAGUGGUAAUGAACCUUACUGUCUUCAGUCCUUACUCACAGACUGAGUGCCUGUAUCUUUUAGCAGACCUGGUGUGUCUGUUGUCUGUAAAGGUCAUAGUGCAUGGGCCCACGGAAUCACUGUGUAUGCAUACUUCAGGGUCUGCUAAUUCCCAAUGUCCUGAAGAAUCCAAAGUUUACAUUAAGAUUCAAGUUAAUACUAUGCUUGUUGUUGCAAAAUGUAGUGCAAUCAUUCAAAGUUUGCAAAAUGUGCAGUCUAUGCAGCCUGUUAUUAUUCUAAGGUACAUUUUGUUUAACAGCACACUAGUGCUGAUCCCAGUGUUGGAGAUGGCAAUAAAAUAUAAAUCACUUAAAUAUGUUGAAAUGGAGUUACGUAAUUUUAAUACUCCCAAAUGCUAGAAGCCUGAUAUUACAACUUAACAUUCCUACAGAGAUGUGCUUCAAUGAGAAUUUCACAAACAAAGAGCAAUGUGCAUAGAAUCCAUUGCCUGCACUUGGAAAUGUUAAUAAGGAAAACUGUAGCAGCCGCUGAAGCAUAGUUGAAGAUGAAUGUGUUCAGUCUUAUUGAACGCGUGGGAGUAUUAUGUUUUAAUUCUGUUUCUGCUCUGUCUCAGAUGGUAUUUGUCUAUCUCCACUUUAUCAUACCAUUAUUACUUACCUAUUUGCAUGUUUUGAUAGCACUUACUUCCACGUAGCUGCAUUCUUUACAUCCCCUAA